UUUUCUGAGGGCCUGCUGUGCGCCAGCUGCUGGAGACAUGAAGACAUCGAAGACCUCAGGCCUUGACCUCCAAGAGCCCCCAGUUUGGUGGAAGAAACAAACAAGGAGACUGCAAAACACACCCUGUGAUGGGAAGGGUUGAGCUCCAGGGGGAGGAUAAAGAGCUGACACCUGGAACGUGCUCGGAGCACAGCAGGUGCUCGGUCAGUGCAGCCACGACCAUCCCGUCCUGCAUCCCCACCAUGAACUUGGACCUUCUGGAAGGACCUUGCUUAUCCCAGCAUCCACACAUCCUUGACCAGACCUGGUCAACAUUUGCUUACUCUGCCAGCCAUCAGCAAACUUAGCAGGCAGAACCCCUGCCCCAUGGCGCUGCUUCAGCGUGGUGAGACAGAACCGCCUGGCUGCUGGGAUGAGAAGAGACUGGAGAGAGACCACGAUGGAAGCCAGGAGGCCAACGAGGAGUUGGGGUAGUCCUCCAGGGAGACAUGAUUUGGCUUCAGCCCCAGUGGUGAUGGCGGGGUAGAGCCAGCAGUGUUCUGAACUGAGUGGAUGUGAAAUGAGGGAAAGAGGGAUGCUGCGGUCGGCAGAAUCGUGCCUUCCGCAAAGAUGCCCCAUCCUAACCCGUCACCCUUGACAGUGUGACCUCCACCACAAAGGGGACUUUGCAGGCAUAAAGGUUAAGGACCCUGAGAGGAGGAGAUGGCCCUGGGCUGUCUGGCGGGCCCAGCGUCAUCACAAGGGUGCUUAUAAGUGGAGGAGGAGGCAGGGGGAGCCGAGCAGAUGUGAGGAUAGAAGCAGAGGUCGGAGGGAUGUGCUGUUGGCUUGAGAUGGAGGAGGACCUAUGAGCCAAGGAGCAUGGGCGGCCUCUGGAAGCCAGAAAGGGCAAGGCCUCUUCCCGGAGCCUCCAGCAGAACCCAGCCCUGCUGCCACCUCGACUGCAGAACGGUGACACCGUGUCCGAUUCCUGACCUCCAGAACCGUGAGAUAACACGUGUGCUGUUUUAAGCCACUGCAAUUGUGGUAUUUGUCACAGCAGCCAUAGGAAACUGUAUGGGGGUUAAAGAUGACCUGCUGACCUCUGAGCUCACACUGAAGCCUCCUGGAACGCUGUGGGUUGUGAGCUGGGAUGAGAACGCAGCAUGGAGAUGAAAGACGCAUCCACCCAGGAAGGCCCACUGGCAUCGCAAUCUCAGGGAAGUUUCCCAGGCUGAAAAAAGAGAAAGUGGCUGGGGUGGCACUGAAUGCCCCAUGUCAAAGAAAUGGCACCCAAGCCGUCCGUCAGUCCCUCACCUGCCACACAGACAGCACCUUGGACCCAGCAAGAUGUCACUCACCACAUUGAUGCUGUCCACAGGCAUCGCCUUGCUUUUGCAGCUGUGUGUGAGAUUUGUCAGCUUGGUUUGGUUCUGGGGCUGUAUUAGAGCUGUCAGCCUAGGAGCCUGCUCUAGUUUUGUGUGUGCACUAUUUCCAAAGCAUUGGAAUAAAAGGCAUUUUAAC
rnacentral:lncRNA from 1 species